ensembl:lncRNA JAZF1-AS1 JAZF1 antisense RNA 1
CCCACCCCCGGGCCAUUUACCGAUGUGGUUGUCCUCGAUGUGCUCGAUGAGGUCGGCCAGGGUGGGGAAGUGGAGUCCGCAGCCCCCGAAUCGGCAGAGAUGGAGUUUUGCCAUUUGCCCAGGCUGGACUCGCAGUCCUGGACUCAACCACCUUGGCCUCCCAAAGUGCUGGGAUUACAGGGGUUCCUGUUGAGAUUAAAGUAAAUGCAUUUACCAGCAUACAUGUCAUGGAAGACUGACUCUGCACCAUGCUCUGUGACAAAAGGCUUCAAGAUUAAACCGGUUUGUUUCUUAACAGUGUGACCCACAUAGCCAAUGUUAGCAAGCACUGGAAGAGAACACUAUUAAUUACAGCUUUAAGUGGCCACUAAACAUGCAGAAGAUUUCCUCUGAACUGAGAGUUGAAGGAUAUGGUGCAACAAGCCCAUUUCCUGGCACUGGAAAGCGGAGAGAGAGCUGCAGGAGAGGCGGUGGUGAAGGAAGCAGUGCAGGGCCAUGCGUGGCCCCCGACGUGGGCAUUCGGCUGGAGCUCUUGAUUCUAGGUCCCAGCCUGAGUACACGAGGAUUCCUCUGGCCUGUUAGCUACAACUUCCUCUUCUGGAGGUCUUACUUGUCAUCUAUGUCUUGGUCGUCUGCAUAUAUUUUCUAGAAAUUUCCUCAAGCCCUUCUACCGUGAAGGUGAGCCGUGAAGUCUAUUGCCCAGGGAUUGGGGACGUUUGUAUUAAAGAAGGUUUUGGAGUACAGAAGCAGGAAGAUGUGUUGUGGAGAUGCUGUUGGCAGAAACAACUGGCCUUGACUAAACAAACCAAGAGUUCCUACAGGAGCAGAGGCAACCGGGUGAAGGCUGACGCCCUUGCACAGGCUUGGGCAGCUCUUCUCCACAUGUCCACGUGGCUCACUUCCUUACCUACUUCAGGGCUCUGCUCACACGUCACCUCCUCAAGAAGGCCUUCCCCAACUACCCUGUCCUCACUCCCACCCCUUACCCCUGCAUUCCCUGUCCCUCUCACUCUGCUGUGGUUUAUCCUACCUGACAUAGAACAGGUUUAUCUCCCUGUUGUCUAGCAGGCUUUUAUCCAGUUCUGCUUUGCCGGACUGUAUUAAGUAAGUCUCAGUUCCUGGGCUUUAUCACUCAGCAUGGGUGGAACACACGAAAAUGGGAUUUUCCUGUUCCCACUACAGCACUUUUCUUGUGGAUACCACAUCUCCCCAUGUGCAAUAUUCUAUUCCCAUCUCACUCUUACCUUGUGCAGAGCUAUUUUCUCAGAGCAUGAGUCUCUGAACGGAAAAUCUACUGCUUUGUGCCCUGCCUGAGGAUAAGCUUCACCAGAGCAGUCUAUAUUGUUGUUGCUGUUGUUGUUGUUUAUUGCUGUAUUCCUAGCUUCUAGAACAGUGCCUGGCAUGGCAAUCAGUGGCAUGAGUAAAUUUAUGAGUAUAUAUAAUGGACAAGUUUGGGAGAAGAUAAUUAGUUUGGAAACGGGAGAGUUUAGUGGGAGAGACAGGGCCCUGACUACCUCAAAAAGCAGCAGUACUAUAAGAGGACAGAGUUUCUAUUUUUCUGCCUGGUCUAGGACUUGUACUGGUCUUUCAACUUGAAUUCAUGCAGCAAGACAGUGGUGGUGAAAAGAUAAAGGCAUUUCUACCUGGGUAGACAGUUUCUUUUUCUGGAGACAAGAAUUGAGAAGGCCUACCAGAUUCUGGCAGUGAGUUGACUGUACUUGUUUUUAGCAUUGUGAAUUUUUGCCUUCAUAUGAAUUUAAGUAGGGAGUUUAGCAAUGCUGUUUCAGGGUUUCCAUCCAGAUUUUCCGUUUCAAAUUGGACAUCUAUUUGCACCUUUAAUUCGCGUAACAAAUACUUCACAGAGAAUACAAAGUUGAAUUAUGGGCAGCUCAAUUCAUCCCCCCAAAGGCAGACAAGAGAUGGCAGGUCCAAGUUAUGCCUAUAUUACACAGUAGAGAUUAUUUUAAGUGUUUUGUUAUUGCUUCCAAGUUCACACAAAUGCUUCUUACUAAUUUAUAUUGGUCACAUUCACUAUUCUUAUUUGGUACUCAUUAGUGACUUUGUACUCUCUUAAAGAAAAUAAACCUCCAGAUUAACUAAAACAUUUAAAUAUGAAUUGUACAUAGGCUUUAUUCAUUUAUAAAAUGCAAAGAAAUUAAGAUUAAAAGGAAAACCACAUCAAAACCCAGAGACAUAAAUAAAAUGCAUUUAAAUGGCUCUUUGGUAGUUUAUUGAUGCUGAGAUAGUUUUUUUCUCCCCUUGAAAAUAUAUAAAAUUUUCUUUUCAUCUUCCCUGAAGCAUAUCCAAAUAAGUUAGUGACUACAUAAUUAAUAUCCAGGUAUUUUGUGAUAUUUGGAUAAUAGGCUUCAACUUCUUCUAAACUUAUUUUAUAUUUCAGACCACACAUUUGCCGUUUGUUGAUAAUGUUUUUGGUUGCAGCCUGAGAUAUUUCCAGGUCUAAAGCCAGGUUCACAUUUUGCUUUGAAGAGACAGAAAUUCCAAACAAAUACAGAUAGUCAGGCCAUAAACUUAAUUAAAAUUUCUGCUUUACUGGAUGUUACAUUAAAUAUGGCCAUAAUGCCAAGAGAAAUACUUGAAAAAUCCAUUUGCAUCCACAUACUGCUGCUUCCACAUAGAAUAAAAUAACAAAAUGCUAAGAAGUACAUGUUUGUGUGUAUGUGUGUGAGAGCACAUUUGUAUUAAGCUAGUUCUCUCUUUUGGCUGGGUGGCCAUACUAGUCAUAUUUUGACUAAUAAAAGAUUUUUUAAAAAAAAUUUAAAAUUAAUUUUUUUUUUUUUUUUUUGAGACCGAGCCUCCCUCUGUCACCCAGGCUGGAGUGCAGUGGAGUGAACUUGGCUCACUGCAACCUAUGCCUCCUAGGUUCAAGCAAUUCUCAUGCCUCAGCCUCCUGAGUAGCUGGGAUUACAGGCAUGCACCACAAUGCCCAGCUGAUUUUUGUAUUUUUAGUAGAGAUGGAGUUUCACCAUAUUGGCCAGGCUGAUCUCCAACUCUUGACCUCAGGUGAUCUGCCUGCCUUGGCCUCCCAAAGUGCUGGGAUUACAGGUGUGAGCCUCGACACCUGGCCUAAAAGAUGGGUUUUAAUUAAAAUCUGGGAUUGGCCAGCUCCAUAUCUGUUAACUUUCCCAUAUAGUGCUGGAGCACUAAUUUAGAGAGCUUUUGAACUACUGUGUGGUUUGUCUGCCUCCUUUUUGUGUAAAUCUAGGACAUCUUUUUUUUUUCUUUUUCAAUUUGCCUGGAAUAUUUUCUUAUUUAGAAUUCUAUGGAGAUCAUAACUCAUCUCCAGGAGAGUGAACAAGGUCACUCAUAGGAAGGUGGAGCAUGUCUUUCUUAUACAAUUGGAAGGGAGGAAGGGACCCAGCCCUGUCAUUUACAGGUGAGGACUCUGUGUCCCAGGAGGGCAAGGGAACAUGCAGAGUCUGGUGUGGUGAGCACAGGCCAAGCCCUGUGCAGAUGGGGCAGUGAGAGCAGAAAGGACGGCUGGGGCCACAUUUGACAGGUCUGGUUGACCCUGCAGUAGGACAUCAUCCAGAAUUUCCAUUAGAUGCCUUAGUCCCAAUUCUUCAGAAAGAAGGGCUUGAGAGCAAGCCUAUGUAUGAAGUCUUUAUUGGUGAGUAUGAUCCCAAAGAGGAGUAGGGUUGUAAACCAGGAAAGACGGGUAAGUCAGCCACUACAGUCAACUGGUUGUUCUGCCCAUCAGGACCUUGUGAGGAGCCUAAUGAAUUGUAGCCUGGGACCCUCUGUCAUGGGUUGAAUUGUGUUUCUCCAGGAUUCAUAUGGUGAAUUCCUAACCCUCAGUAUCUGAGAAUGUGACAGCAUUUGGAGAUAGGGCCUGUAAAGAAGUGAUUAAGAUAAGUGAGCCUGAUAGAAUGGGCCCUGUUUUAAUCUGACUAGUGUCCUUUUAGGAACAGAAAAUUUGUACACACACAGAGACAUCAAGGAUGCAUGUUCACAGAGGAAAGGCCAGGUGAGGCCAUAGCAGGAAGGCGGUCAUCUGCAAGCCAAGAAGAGAGACCUCAGAAGAAACCAACCUGCUGACACCUUGAUCUUGGACUCCCAGCCUCCAGAAGUACGAUAAAAUAAAUUUCUGUUGUUUAAGUCACCA